rnacentral:lncRNA from 1 species
AUAGGAAUGAUGUCUUUGAAAGAAGCUCUUUUUUUGGAGAAAUCUCUGAAUCUGGGCCUAGGGUCAGUACUCAGGGAGAACCCAAUCAAAAGCAACUACAGUAGGAUGGACUGAAGAGUCUCUUGAGGCAUGGUAGCUGAAAUACAACAUCAUAAUUUUUACUGGAAAAUAGCCACAAUGAAGGAACACCACAAUUUCACCAUGAAAACCAGCACAACCUUACACAGAUGACAAACAUUUCCCCUCAAAACUUGUUAAACUGUAUUUGGGCUGACCAAAUUAACCAGAGUUAUUCUAUUUAUGGGGGAGCAGGAAGUAACUUGAUAAAAUGCUUUGAGUUUAUAUAUCAUGUCAAAUAAAUAGCAUAAUUUUAAAGGAAAAAAA